rnacentral:lncRNA from 1 species
UGCCUGCAUCAGGUCUUAGUUGCAGCAUGUGGGAUCUAGUUCCCCCACCAGGGAUUGAACCUAGGCCCGCUGCAUUAGGAACAUGGAAUCUUAGCCACUGGACCACCCGGGAAGUCCCUGAAGAGCUUCAAGAGGCUCCAGGUCAAGUGUUUGAAAUGUCCAGACCAUAGGCUCCCCAACAUCCAUCACUGCUGUUGGAAGAAUCAUUGGAAUUCUUUCAGAAUUCUGGAAGGUGGUUACCAUGGGGCUCCUUGGUGGUCACCCUUGGCCUCUUCCUUUGUCUGCAAAUUGCUGCCAGGGCAAGGGUCUAAGGCAUCUCCAAAAUUCCAGAUAAAUCAAAUCAUAAUAAUUGUACUAUUCAUCAGGUUAGAUGGAGUUUUGGCUCAGGGCCCAUUUCAGGCCUGAAUGUCCUAAGCAAACCCUUUUGACUUCCAGAUUAUCAGAUGCUGAGCCAAUGUUCCAGACCCUGAGCCAGUCUUCAGCACAGCUCUUGCAGACAGCAUGCUGAGAUGUCUCCACCAUGGUCCACAGGCUGUCCAAAUUAAGUCGGGAAGAGAAAAACAAAUAUUGUUUAUUAAUGCAUAUAUGUGGAAUCUAGAAAAAAAUGGAAUCCAGCAUUCUGUAAUGCUGACCAGACUUAUCAGCUUAAACCACGUGGAUUUAAAUCUCUGGCUGCCACGGGAGAAGCAAAGAGGUGAGACUGUGGCUGCGCUCAGAAUCUGUGACCGUCACACUGCUCGAAAUCCCCCAUCCCUAGGAGCCCGAGGAAAGUCACUCUUAACUUUUAUUUCAGUUGAGGAAGGUGAAUAAUGAUACCUUCUUUACGGAUUAUGUUGUGGCCUGAUUAAAUAUUUCAAAAGUAUUUCUGUGAUCCCCAGAUAAAAGACACUGAGUAAAGCCUGAAC